rnacentral:rRNA from 1 species
CCCUUAGAUGUUCGGGGCCGCACGCGCGCUACACUGAUGGGGUCAGCGUGUCUUAUCGUCCUGGUCCGGCAGGAUUGGGCAAUCCGUUGAACCCCCGUCGUGAUUGGGAUCGGAGCUUGUAAUUAUUCUCCGUGAACGAGGAAUUCCCAGUAAGCGCAAGUCAUCAGCUUGCGUUGAUUACGUCCCUGCCCUUUGUACACACCGCCCGUCGCUCCUACCGAUUGAGUGGUCCGGUGAGGCUUUGGGAUCUGAGCGGAAAGAGCGUUUCGCUGUUUCUGCCCGGAAAACUCAGUCGAACCUUAUCAUUUAGAGGAAGGAGAAGUCGUAACA